GGGGAUUUAGCUCAGUGGUAGAGCGCUUGCCUAGCAAGCACAAGGCUCUGGGUUCGGUCCCAGCUCCG
rnacentral:tRNA from 1 species